CCACACCCGGCUGAAUGAACCAUUUUUUAAAAGAAAGCAUCGUAUUGCCAUUGUUUAUACACUUAACAGAUUUUUGUUGUGUCUCUGUUUUGCUGUUGUUUGGGAGUGUUAACAUUUUAUUACAUUAUAGCCGAGGAAAGCAGGUUGUUGCGUUUGGAGAUUGUUACUGUCUGUGUCCCCUCCUAGUUCAUAUGUUGAAGCCCUAACCCGCAGUGAGGCUGUAUUUGAAGAGGAGGGCCUUCAGGGAAGUAAUUAAGGUUAAAUGAGGCCGUAUGGGUGGGUCCCUUAUCUGAAAGAAAUAGUGUCCUGUUGGGAAGAGACAUCAGAGAGCCUGCUGUCUCUUCAUGCACAGGCACCAGGAAAGGCCAUGUGAGGACACAGCAAGAAGGCAGUCAUCUGCAAGCCAGGAAGAGCGUCCUCAUCAGAAACUGAAUUGGCUCCUGCCUUGAUCUGGGACUUCAGCCUCCAGAACUUUGAGGAACUCCCCAAAGAUGGAUAACACUAACAUAUAGUCAGUGGGAAAGAAAUCUCAGAAAAUGUUCAUUUGUCACUGUAAUGGGAAAUGGGAAGGAAGAAAAACAGCACUUAUCAAGCAUUUUCUAUGUACAAACUGCCAUUUCAGACUCAGAGCAGUCCUUGAAGGUCAAGAACUAUGGAAUCUUUCAGAUGAUAUUGUGAUACUCCUGGACAAAGAUUGAAUUUGUUCUUCAUGAAAAAUGUCUGGGACCGUUUAUGUAAGUAUGUUUAGUCAUUUAAAGUUUGCCAUAAGCAAAUUAAGGAUGGGCACUCAUGGGAACACAGCAGGAAUAUGAGAGAGUUUAAAAGACAUCACUGUAUCUAUAAUUCAGAGUUAGCAGUGUCUUUACCAAAUCAGUUCAAGUAAGGA